CAGCUGCCACCCCGUUGAACCGCCACUGCCUGGCACAUGUCCCACGCAGACGAUCAAAGAGGGAUUUUACAGCAUGGCAGGGUUUCCCAGGGUGCUUGGCUGUAUCGACUGCACACACAUUCCGAUCUCUGCGUCCCUGGGAGAAAAUGAAGGCGACUAUGUCAAUCGCAAAUUCCUCCACAGCCUCAACAUUCAGGCCACCUGUGACCACAGGUGUGUCAUUACCAGCCUUGAGGCAAAGUGGCCUGGAUCAGUCCAUAACUCCAGGAUCCAUGACUCCAGGAUCUUCUCUGAGUCAUCACUGUAACUUAACGUCACAGCAGGCAUAACAACAG